GGGGCUUUAACCGUUAUGCUCUUUUUUAAGCAUGCAAUUGACCCUUCGCAGGGAGCUUGAUUAACAGGUGAUAUGACGAAUCAUCACGAAUAUCCACACUUUAUGAGACCAGGUCCAGGCGGAGCUGAGCAGGGUGGUUGGAGACCGUCAGGUGAGGGCAGAGGACCGGAAGAUCCUGCCCUUUGCUGACGCUGUCAUCCAUGAGACACAGAGAUUUGCUAAUAUACUUCCCAUCGCUAUUCCUCAUCACACCAGCACAGAUGUGACUUUUCAGGGCUAUUUCAUAAGAAAGAAGAAGAAGAAGAAGAAUACUGCUUACCUUUUUGUUGUUUUAUGGCGGUGGGCAUUCAUCUUAUUGGUGCAUUACCACCACCUUCUGCUCCUGGAUGUGGAUCAGACAAUAACCCUCUUUUUACCCCAAAACAAAACAAAA